UGCUGAGAAACCAUCCCCCUGCCACAUUAAGACCAUGACCAUCAGAUCGUCACAAGAGAUUCAAGCGAGGGGAUUUAAUUAUCCACCUACUGCCUGAUUAUGAACAGCCACUCUUAAAUGAAUUGACUUCUCCAAGAACUGGUCAUUAAAAGAACUCUGGAGGCACGGAGCAAAGAAUCUAUUCAAGAUGCCUGCAGUCUACGCUACCUCCGCGUCAUCAUUGUUUGUCCAGUGUACCUGCGUGUCUCUGUGUUUCACUACCUUGCAGGAUAUUUGGAUCUUCUGUUUGGAUUAAUGCAUUCACCUUUUGGACUAUUUGCCUUUGUUUGGACAUUUACCUGCCACCAACAAAUGUAAGCCUUGUUUCUGUUUUGUGGCAAUAAACCUGACAAAUUGUAUGAA